rnacentral:lncRNA from 1 species
CUUGGAUGGCAAAGAGUCAGGCAGAGAGCAGAAGGAGUAGAGAGUGGACAAUCAGGGGUUUGACAACUGCUGACUGUUUUGGGAAAGAUGACCUUGAAAGGGAUGCCUCUCAACAGGGUCAGUGGAUAUGAUUCUGAAUGGCCAAUAGAAACAAAUGCUCCAAAAAUACAAAGAAGAGCAACUCCCCCAAAUCAAAAGGACAAUGAGAGAAAGCCAAACCAGGAAUGUCCAAAGUGGGUCUCCACCAACCUGCUAUGCUUCCCUCCCGGCAAGACCAGAGGAGUGUGAAAACCAAACCAGAGAAGAGUUAUACUGUACUACAGAUAAUGAAAGCAUCAUCCUAAAAUGGAAUGUCAGAAGUAAAUGAUACCUACUGAAUUGGCAUCAAAAUCGGCCCUUGCAAAUAGAGCUUGAUUCUUUCCUGCAACUAUGAUUCAUUUUGAGCUAAUGUUUCAGCUUCUCCAUCCUUAAAAGACUAAUAUGCUUUGUCUUUAAUUAAAGUCU